rnacentral:lncRNA from 1 species
UACUCCUACCAAGUGAUUAACAAAAGAUGGUGUAUCAAACCAUCAAUCACACCUCACUAAUAGAAGCUCAAACCUUCCUCUUAGGUGGACCAAAGGAAUUCGCACUCCCCAAUCACACCUUUCUUGCCAAAUGUUCAACACAAAUGAAAUCCAUCAUUUGUAUUAAACUCUCAAGUUUUUUGAUGUCUUUUCCAAGAUCUACACUAAGAUGGCUUCUCCAAGACCUACACUAAGGAAAUAAAUUACACUAAGAGUUCUAAUGAAAAUGGAAGCUAAAAGGUCUAUUUAUACUAUUACAUAACAAUGACUAAAAUGCCCUUAAUGAAGAGAGCUCCUUGGGAGUGUAAAAGGAAGGUCUUAAAAGACCACAACGCCCUUAGUUGAGGCGACUAUGUGAUGUAGAAAUCCCUCCUUCUCUCUUCAAUUUGGAGAGGGCUUUGUAAUGGUUCCAAAAGUUCUUCAAACACUUGCAAAUCCGAGACUUGAUCCUUUGACAAUUCGAAGCUUGAACCUUCUACAAGACCUUGUAAACCUUGUGCUCUUUAUGUUUGUAUCAUCCUCUCCAUCUUGAAAGGAAUUUGUCCUCAAAUUCAGAUCUUACAAAACCAAAGAGAGAGCAAAACAAGCACACAAUCCUCUUGGUAGGAAGGUUAGUAUUAGUACCACACUCAUAUCAUCAACCCAUGGUUGCUCACACUUGACAUACACCCACAUAUCUUUAAAAUUUGACAUGAAAAGCUUUGCAUAAAAGGGUAUAAAGAAGUGGAUGGCAUAAACAUCAAAAGGAAUUGAGUAUGAACCGAAACUACUUCCACAACUCAAAAGUAUUCCGGGGUCAAAUGGGAAUAGAAGACAAGGGGUUAAUCCGAGGUGACCCACUCCUUUCACUAGGCUACCAAACUCACAAUCAUCAUCAUUCAAGCAAGGAAACCAGCCACCAAACUUACUACAUCUACAUAAUACCAAUUCAAAAUUAACAUGGUUAUCAUCAUAGGCAAAGAGGUAGUAUAGGAAGGAAUCAUGUGUGAAGACAUCACGCAAGGUGUAUCAUCUACAAGAGGGUCACUUGGUCCAAAAGAUAUAGCACAUAAGGCACACAAGGAUGGAAUUAAAUCAAUUAAGCAUAUAUGACUUCUUCCCCUCAAGAAAAACAUCAACUUGGCAUCCACAAGUUGGGAUUUACUCAAUUCAAGCACAAGUGUGUCAAGUAAGGAUGCACAUUUAGAAACAUUAUCCCAAGACGACAAUGACACUUUUGCCUUCGGGUUUUCAAGAAUAAUACUUUGCAAAUCAUAUAGACCAAGCAACAAGGUGGUUGUGCCAACAUCAUCAUAUUCACAAUUUGCACCGGGGUCAAAUGGUAAGAGUGGCCUUAGACAUGGAUCUAGACAACACUCUUUUUCCCCAAUCUAAAAGACAUACUCUCUACAAUAGCAGACACAUCAUCAAAGGCAAACAGAGAGUAGAGAAAGGUGUCACACAAAUCAACUUCAACUAUGGUGCCCUUGUGCAAGUACUCACUAGUUCCAAGUUCAUCACCACUAGGAUGCUCAACAUAGGAAACACACAAAGAAGAAAUAGAUGAAAUUUCUAAGCAUGCACCACUUUCUAUUUUAAGAGAGUAAUCCCCACAUAGAUAUAAACCACAAUGAGCAGCAAAAGGAUCACACACAAAAACAUGUUCACAAGAAGAAUCACAAUUCGGGUUUCCUAAAUAUUCGAGCAAUUCAAGGUCACCUUCACCCGAUUGUGCCUUUUCUUGGUUUCUUUGAGUAAAUCUAUCAAUAUGGCUUUCAUCAUACAACAAGCUCAAAGAAUCAUCUCCAAUCCCAUGAUCAACACCUUCUUCAUCACUAACUCGAGACUUAUCAAACACACCACACAUAUGCUCAAGUAGUGGACUACAUUCGUGAGUAGGUUGAUCAUCAUUCACAUCCUCACUAGUUGUUGGCAACUCACAUACCAACGUAGACUCACCUUGGUUUUCACAAGGGUCAACUAGUCUUAUCACUUGGUAAUGGAACCUUAUUCAAGUUAUAAGUGCUAGCACUAGAUGGACACAAAUCAUUCUAAAGAAAAGAAUUGAUUUUGUCAUCUAAAAGAUCAACUAGUGCUUGCAUACUCACAACAAGAGUUUGGUCCUUAUUCAACCUAAAAAUAUCAGGAGUAUCACAAAGGGAAGACUCAUGCAAUUCUCCUCCAAGAAAACCAUCAGCUACAUCCACUUGGCUACUACUAGCCACAUCACGGCAUUCUAAGUUUAUAGGAGCGUAGGAGAUAACAUUGUUACCUUUUAGCUCACAUGAGGUAUGGCCUUUACCUAGGUUUGGAUCAUGGCAGCCCAGUUGUUCCUUUGGGAAGCUCUCAUUACAAGGGAGUUUGUCAAGAGUUCUUCCUUGCAUCACCUUUUUCCCAAAGUUGGCAUUCUUAGCCAAGAGCUCCAUUUGAUCAACAACCAUGUGUUCUUGAGGAACUCUCCUUGAAUCCUCCGGUGGAAGCAUAUUAUCUUGAACCUGCACACAAGGAGAAUUGAUACUAGGCAAAAUGCUUGUAUCUUGGUUAGUGGUGAUUCGUUUUAGAUGGCAUGCUUCAAUCAUCAAUUGGCGUAGACUUUCAAGGUGCCGAUGAAAAUUUUCAAAAGGAUCCAAGGUAGUAUAAAUACUAUAACUAUCCGGAGUGGAUGCUGUUGUUCCUUCCAUUGUCAAGGUACCUAAAAAGAGCAAAAAACAACAAAGGCAAAAACCUACAAAACGAACAAAUAAGUUAGUUAAAAUAACCUCACACACUCACACUUGGAUCACACCUCACACUUGGUCUCACAAGUGUUAAAUACUUGGCAAUACUUGGUAAGUGAGUUGAGUGGUGAAUUGCCUUGGUCCGGAAUCGAUUUUUGUUUGAUAAGACUCAAACAAAAUGAUGCACGGACUUGAACCAACAAACUACUACGACUUAAAAACAAGAAAAGCACACAAAAAGCGAAGACACAAACAAAACGGACUCAAGACUAAUUAUCAACCUAGUAGGUACUUACUAGUUUGCUAAUUAGUAAUAGAAUCAACACAAAAGCAACUAGAAACAACAAUAGAAACCUAGAAAUCUAAUUUAGAACUCAAUUUGGUUGUUUAUAUAGUGAUGACGUGGCAGCUUGUGAUUGGACGUCACUUUUUCAAAUUUUUCAAUUCUCAAAUUCUUGUCUCGGCCAAACAACACUUAGGGAAGGAAGAGAAUUCGUUUGGAGGGAAAAAUAUUCAAGUUUGAAGCCUUUUCAAGCUUCAAAAUGGAUUAGAAAUGAAUUGGUCCCCCUUGUACUUGUAAUUGUACUUGAAGAUUCCUUUUGUCUUUGUUGUUUUCUUCUUUUGGCAAGACUAGGAAGCUUNNNNNNNNNNNNNNNNNNNNNNNNNNNNNNNNNNNNNAAUAUGAAUAUUCAAGAGUUGACCAAGGUUUGACCACUAGGCAAAUGAACCCCGAAUUCAAUUUUUCUUUUAGAUCUAGGUUCCUUUUGCCAAGACAAGCACAACCAACACAAAAUCAGCCACAAAUCACGUCACCAACACAAACCCAAAACAGAUCUCACUCCAAAAGCUUCAAACAAGUCACAACAAUGAUGGAUCUAGCUCAAAAACAACCAAAUCUUGUUCCAAAUGUAGAUCUAGACUCCUUAGGUGCUAGGGAACAAGAAUCUAGCACUUGAAAUCAACAAAACAACACAAAAACAUGUAGAUCUAAGAUUUAAAAAUCUGCCAAAACACAAAAACGGGUUUACAAUUUUUUGUGAGAUUUUCGAUUUUCUACACUCUUUUUUGUUGAGAUUUUCUUAGAUCCAAGACUUAGAGUUGUGGGAACAACUCUAAUACAUAGCUUUGAUACCAAAUGAUAGCCUAAAGGAAGGCUAAACACAAAAAUGGACACACAAAAAACAAAAAACAGCAAUUAGAAGAAAGGGAGAUGAAGAAGAAUGCAUAAAAUGUAAAGAUAGUAGAAAGACCUUUAACUCUUACCAAGUGAUUAACAAAAGAUGGUGUAUCAAACCAUCAAUCACACCUCACCAAUAGAAGCUUAUACCUUCCUCUUAGGUGGACCAAAGGAAUUUGCACUCCUCAAUCACACCUUUCUUGCCAAAUGUUCAACACAAAUGAAAUCCAUCAAUUGUAUCAAACUCUCAAGUUUUUUGAUGUCUUUUCCAAGACCUACACUAAAAUGGCUUCUCCAAACCCUACACUACGGAAAUAAACUACACUAAGAGUAAUACUCAAUUUCAAUUCAUCAAAGUCUAAUGAAAAUGAAAACUAAAAGAUCUAUUUAUACUAUUACAUAACAAUGACUAAAAUGUCCUUAAUGAAGGGUGCUCCUUUGGAGUGUAAAAGGAAGGUCUUAAAAGACCACAAUGCCCUUAGUUGAGGCGCCUAUGUGAUGUAGAAAUCCCUCCUUCUCUCUUCAAUUUGAACAAGGCUUUGUAAUGGUUCCAAAAGUUCUUCAAGCACUUGCAAAUCCGAGACUUGAUCCUUUGACAAUCCGAAGCUUGAACCUUCUACAAGACCUUGUAAACCUUGUGCUCUUUAUGAUUGUAUCAAUGAGCCUAACAUGCACCCACAUGUGGCCAUCUACGACUACAUGUGGCCCAAGGCAGCCAGAUUGCUUCCUUUGUUGAUUUGGGUCACGUUAGGGCCCACUUAUGUACUAAAUAGAUCAAGGCUAUAAAUACUAGCUUACUUAGGUUAUUUCCUUAGUUUUUUUAUGAUAUUUGACAUUGAGAGUCUCCUUGAUGGAGCUUGAGGGCUUGGUAAAGCUUGUAUUGAUCGUUACCAACAAACGGUGGUUGUGAGGGCAUUUCGAUUCCCUCGUGGUCAUUCGUAGGAGUUAGGUGCUUUCAUUGGAUCAAUCUCUUGAGGUUAUUAGAUUUAACAUAGUUUUAUUAGAUUCCCUUGCUUGUGCCUAUCUUUAUAUCUCUAUCUAUCUAUGCUUUACUUUUGCAUUUUCUAUCCUAUCCUUUCUUUAGUUUUCGUGUUGUUUUCGACUUCCGUAAUUUGUGGGUUAUCAUUUGGUAUCAGAGUAAGGCUUAGAUUCGUUCCUACAAGUCUAGUCUUGGGUUAGAUAUCUUGAAGAAAAAAGUCCCAAAAAAUGUUUUCAAGAUUAACCCCCAAAAAAAUAGUGUUCUUGAGUCAUUAUUGUGUUUCUAUACUAGAUUUUGUUCUAUCUAGUGAUAUACAAGUUGGAUCUUGAACCUUGGAUGUGUUUGGAAGAAGUGUUGAAGUAGGGCUCCAUUGUUGAGUUUGUUCUUGAAGAAAUAGUGAAGUGGGUCUUUCGAUCUUGCUUAUUUGGUGUUGAUUUGUGGGUUGAAUAGUGUUUUCCAUACCAAAAGAACCCUAGAUCUAAGUUAUGGUGUUAUUUGGAGAAGUUUCGAAAAAUCACAAGGAAUUCAUAUCUUUCAAUUGUAAGAAAAACACAAGUAAGUUUAUGUAGUAAUAACAUCAAAACUAAUUAAAAUUUAUAUCUUUCAAUCGUAAGAAAAACACAAGGUAAGUUAAUGUUAAAGAUUAUAAAAACAAAACACUUCCAUCAUCAAACAAGUUCUCAAGUUGAGGAACAUUCAAUAAAAUUUAUGAAGUUCAUGCUACAAUUCAAACUAUUAAAUGAAUAACCACGAGGUUCAUGGAUUUCAUAAGUUUCAUGAGUUUCAUAAAUUUUGCAACCACUCACUGGAUUAAUGCAAUUCACAUAAUUUAUAGAGCAUUCAUGAGUUAAGGGAGAUGAACACUUACUAAAAGAGAUAUGAUUAAUUGACAAAUAUAUAGAAAUUCCUUCAGCCCUAGAUAUCUUGAGAGUAAUUUGAAUUGGGGAAAAAUAAAACUUGAAAAAAUAUGUGAAAAAAGUAGUCUUACAUACCUCAACGAAGAAGGAAAUCCUGAAAAGAGAACUGAGGAAGGACCUUCCUUGAAAAGCUGAUAUUUCUUUCUUUGAAGUUUUGGGGAAAAAGGGAGGGGAGGAAUUAUAUCAUAAAUGGUGAAAUCCGAGUAUAUUUGGCUAUAGGGGAUGUUAAGAGUCAUAGUUUGGGGUUAUGCGUUAAGGGAAAGACGAGAACGCCCCUCUUAGCAUGUUUUUCUUGUGCGCAGUCGCGCAAUAUGGUAUGAAGGAGGUACGGUCAUAUAUGGUGACAUACAUACGGCCCGUCCUUGGUAAAAAGUUGGGACUUAGCUGCUGUUAGUCUUGGGCAAUUUGGGUGCCUAGUUAUGGCCAACAUACAAUAUGUGGGGGACUGUACGUGACCUUCAAGAAGCCAUAUAAAUAUGCGACAUUCAGAUUUUUAAUUAACUUCCCUCAUCCUACGCGACUCCAAGGACUCCAAACCUCUCUCCUCACAUCCUAACACUAGGCAAGUAAUUUUUAAGAUUUCCCUAAUGAUUUUCCUUGGUAAUAUUCAUGAUUCUAACAUUGAAUGUUCUUCAACCUCUCGCAAGAUCUAGGGUUUCCAUCCAAGGGUUUAAGCGAAGAUUUUUGGAGGUUUCCUUCUUCUUCUUCUAAGAAGAUGUUCUUCCUACUCUUACUUUAAGAGAUCGGGACUCAUGGGACGGUGCUUUGAAGCCAAGAGUUCAAUAUACGACCAUUGCAUGUGAGGCAUGGGAGGGUUGUUUUGAAGCUUGAGGUCUUUGAGGUUGUUUUAUUUGCCUUAUAUAGGGCCCACAAGUUGUUAGAUAAAAGAAGGGUGGGUGUUUUGGACACCCCAUUAUUAUGGUGUUUGUUCACCAGGUAAUUGGUAAAAUGCACAUACGAUACGGGCUUAAUGUCAAAGUGAUUAAUACGAAUUUGAUUAUCAUAAACUCG